rnacentral:lncRNA from 1 species
GGAGAGAAAAGUGGGUCACGGGCAGAUGGAGCAUACAGUAGUAACAAUAUGCUGGCUAGCUUUUUAUUUUCUGGUUUUUAUUUUUUCUUCUGUGUUUUAGUAGUGCAGUUACUUCGCUUUGGGUGAAAUAGGGUCAGACUGAACAGGAAAACAAAAGUAGAAGAAAAGACAGGAGUAGAGGGCAGAAUGAGAGAGAAGUUAUUGAUUUAUUAAAUCGAAGCUGUGAAACACUGAGAAAGUACUGCUUUCUCACUGGUUUGAAACAAUAAUGUCUGCACAUUUUCAGUGCAAGUACUUUGUCAACCAAAUGUAGAAUAAUAUCACUAAUACAUUGCAUACAAUACAUACAAUAAUAUUUUUAGAUUCACUACUUGUGACUGUUGCACUCCCAGGCUAAGAGUGAUUUGCAAACUCACAGCCAUAAAUACAGUUACACAGCUUACUGUACAGACGCAGUCAGUGAAGUACGGGCUGAAACCCGCUGUGAGGCCUCAUUCAAGCAUUAUUUUCAGAUCAGCUGUGAGACAGAGACGUCUGCGUGCAGUUGUCCUGACUGGAGAACACAACCUUUGGUGCUUUUGAAUGUUUAUGUCACUUAGCUCAUAUGUAAUAUUUUUAGGUGCAGGUGAGGAGUCUGUACAUGGUGAUUCCAUCUAUUAAAAAACUUGUUCUUCUUUCACACAAUACAGAAAAGCAGAAGCUGCUGGCCAGAGUUUAGCGUGCUUUCAGUCUUUAUCUGCAGAAGUCAGCAGUAUCUAAUUUAACACCUGAUACCCACAGUGUCCUGAAAUGACUUUCACAUAAACAACAGAUUACAAAGGGCUAUAUGAUCAUUUGUGAUCAUCAUUAAAAAAAAACAACAUCAUUUCUUAUAAAUAAAUAGUGAUGGUCACAUGUCUAGUAAGGAUGUUGUCAUGUUAGUUUAAAGCAAAACUAAAUUUGUUUUUCCGCUUUUAGUGUCACAGCCUCUCCGUCUGUUUGAUUCACACCCCUCUUUUGCACUGUGGUGACGCUGACCACCACCAACACAGCUCAUCUGGUUUCUGCUUUUGGUCUCUGUAAGGGAUUAACAGUUGCAACAGUUUCUCCAAACUCACAGAAAUCUUUUUCUCAGAAACUAAAUAAGCAGAAGAGGGUCACUUCUGUUAUUACAAUAACUGCAAGAUUAAAACCCUUACUGUCAUGAAAGCACUUUCUUUGAGGAUAGUAUAAAAUAUGCAGUAUAUAUAUAACUGAUCAUUUCAAGUACUGUACCUCUUUAUGAGGCUACCAAAGGCUCUUAAAAGUGCAGCUGGUGUAUUGUUUUGAGCAAGGCGGUGCUGCCAUCUGAUCCUAUCAUAGGUAUUUGCAUUUAGUUAAGAAUAAAUAA